AUGCUGGGAAGAUUGGGCAGGAAGUUGUUUUUCAACCAUUUAAAGGGAUGCAAUUCGACUCAAGAGAAGGAUGCAUACGAAUUUUUCAAUGCAUAUUCUUGGGAAAUUGGUUUUGGUAUCAAGCAUGGCAAUAAAUACAUAAACAAGAACGGAUUCAAGACGAUGCAGGACCUUUUGUGUUCAUGCGAGGCAACUCACAAAAAAUUCAACUCUAGGUCUAGUAGAACAAACUGUCCUGUGAUGGUUAGAUUGCUUUGCACAGAGGAUGAUGGAUGGUACUACGGAGAGGUGGUAUUAGAACACAACCAUGAGUUGGCAGCUAGUGUAGGUGAAAGAAAGUUAUGGAAGUGUCACAAGUAUGUCGACUCAUCUAUGAAGGACAUUGUUAGGCACUUGCGUUCUAACAAUGUUUCACUGACCAAGGUAUAUGGGGUGAUGGCUAACGUUCACGGUUCACAUGAUGACGUCCCAUUCCGUAAAAGGUCUCUCAAAUCCAUGUGUGCUUCCAUAGCUCCGAAUGUAGUCAAGAUGGUAUCAACAAGACACUGGAUUUAUUCACAAGCAUGCAGGUAG
rnacentral:rRNA from 1 species